rnacentral:rRNA from 1 species
UACGAAGGGGGCUAGCGUUGCUCGGAAUCACUGGGCGUAAAGCGCACGUGGGCGGAUUUCUAAGUCAGGGGUGAAAUCCUGGAGCUCAACUCCAGAACUGCCUUUGAUACUGGGAAUCUCGAGUCCGGGAGAGGUGAGUGGAACUGCGAGUGUAGAGGUGAAAUUCGUAGAUAUUCGCAAGAACACCAGUGGCGAAGGCGGCUCACUGGCCCGGUACUGACGCUGAGGUGCGAAAGCGUGGGGAGCAAACAGG